rnacentral:rRNA from 1 species
GACGAACGCUGGCGGCGUGCCUAACACAUGCAAGUCGAACGGAUCCUUCGGGAUUAGUGGCAGACGGGAGAGUAACACGUGGGAACGUACCCUUUAGUUCGGAACAACCCAGGGAAACUUGGGCUAAUACCGGAUACGUCCGAAAGGAGAAAGAUUUAUCGCUAAAGGAUCGGCCCGCGUCUGAUUAGCUAGUUGGUGAGGUAAUGGCUCACCAAGGCGACGAUCAGUAGCUGGUCUGAGAGGAUGAUCAGCCUCACUGGGACUGAGACACGGCCCAGACUCCUACGGGAGGCAGCAGUGGGGAAUAUUGGACAAUGGGCGCAAGCCUGAUCCAGCCAUGCCGCGUGGGUGAUGAAGGCCCUAGGGUUGUAAAGCCCUUUCGGCGGGGAAGAUAAUGACGGUACCCGCAGAAGAAGCCCCGGCUAACUUCGUGCCAGCAGCCGCCGUAACAC